CUAAUUGGAUUUUGUAUUGACGGUAAUAAGAGAGUCUUGGUUUAUGAGUACAUCUGCAAUGGAUCCUUAGAUUUCCAUUUACAUGGAAGCGGUAGAGCCUCUCUAGAUUGGCAAUCACGACUAAGAAUAGCAAUUGGAGCAGCACGAGGCUUGCGAUACCUUCAU